rnacentral:rRNA from 1 species
UACAGAGGUCCCAAGCGUUGUUCGGAUUUACUGGGCGUAAAGGGCGCGUAGGCGGCCUCCGCAAGUCAGUUGUGAAAUCUCCGAGCUUAACUCGGAAAGGUCAACUGAUACUGCGGGGCUAGAGUGCGGAAGGGGCAACUGGAAUUCUUGGUGUAGCGGUGAAAUGCGUAGAUAUCAAGAGGAACACCUGCGGCGAAGGCGGGUUGCUGGGCCGACACUGACGCUGAGGCGCGAAAGCUAGGGGAGCGAACGGG